rnacentral:rRNA from 1 species
UACUCCUACGGGAGGCAGCAGUGGGGAAUAUUGGACAAUGGGCGCAAGCCUGAUCCAGCCAUACCGCGUGGGUGAAGAAGGCCUUCGGGUUGUAAAGCCCUUUUGUUGGGAAAGAAAUCCAGCUGGCUAAUACCCGGUUGGGAUGACGGUACCCAAAGAAUAAGCACCGGCUAACUUCGUGCCAGCAGCCGCGGUAAUACGAAGGGUGCAAGCGUUACUCGGAAUUACUGGGCGUAAAGCGUGCGUAGGUGGUCGUUUAAGUCCGUUGUGAAAGCCCUGGGCUCAACCUGGGAACUGCAGUGGAUACUGGACGACUAGAGUGUGGUAGAGGGUAGCGGAAUUCCUGGUGUAGCAGUGAAAUGCGUAGAGAUCAGGAGGAACAUCCAUGGCGAAGGCAGCUACCUGGACCAACACUGACACUGAGGCACGAAAGCGUGGGGAGCAAACAGGAUUAGAUACCCUGGUAGUCCAUGCCCUAAACGAUGCGAACUGGAUGUUGGGUGCAAUUUGGCACGCAGUAUCGAAGCUAACGCGUUAAGUUCGCCGCCUGGGGAGUACGGUCGCAAGACUGAAACUCAAAGGAAUUGACGA